AUAUUUCGUCUUUUUCAGCGAGGUCGUGAGACACGUGAAAUCCAUGGAUCUUUCGAGGCCAGUCACCAUUGCUAUUGCACAGAGUUACAUAUACGAUAAAUCUGCGCAAUAUCUCGACGUGAUAAGCUUCAAUCGAUACAACGCGUAGUACCACGACCCGGGGACAUUGCAAAUCAUCACUGGCAACGUCGUCGAAGAAGCCACCGCUUGGCACCGCAAGCAUAACAAGCCCGUGCUUAUGUCCGAGUACGGGGCUGACUCCCUCGCUGGAUUACACUUCUUACCGGAAUACAUCUGGUCAGAAGAGUACCAAGUGGGAGUGAUGUCGGAGCACUUCAAGUCUUUUGACCAGUUGCGUCAAGCAGGUUUCUUCGUAGGAGAGUUUA